AUUGAACGCUGGCGGCAGGCCUAACACAUGCAAGUCGAGCGGCAGCGGGAAAGUAGCUUGCUACUUUUGCCGGCGAGCGGCGGACGGGUGAGUAAUGCCUGGGGAUCUGCGCAGUCGAGGGGGAUAACAGUUGGAAACGACUGCUAAUCCCGCAUACGCCCUACGGGGGAAAGGAGGGGAGCUUCGCGCCUUUCGCGAUUGGAUGAACCUAGGUGGGAUUAGCUAGUUGGUGGGGUAAUGGCUCACCAAGGCGACGAUCCCUAGCUGGUCUGAGAGGAUGAUCAGCCACACUGGAACUGAGACACGGUCCAGACUCCUACGGGAGGCAGCAGUGGGGAAUAUUGCACAAUGGGGGAAACCCUGAUGCAGCCAUGCCGCGUGUGUGAAGAAGGCCUUCGGGUUGUAAAGCACUUUCAGCGAGGAGGAAAGGUUGUUGGCUAAUAUCCAGCAACUGUGACGUUACUCGCAGAAGAAGCACCGGCUAACUCCGUGCCAGCCGCCGCGGUAA
rnacentral:rRNA from 1 species